rnacentral:rRNA from 2 species
UAGGGAAUCUUCGGCAAUGGACGAAAGUCUGACCGAGCAACGCCGCGUGAGUGAAGAAGGUUUUCGGAUCGUAAAACUCUGUUGUUAGAGAAGAACAAGGACGUUAGUAACUGAACGUCCCCUGACGGUAUCUAACCAGAAAGCCACGGCUAACUACGUGCCAGCAGCCGCGGUAAUACGUAGGUGGCAAGCGUUGUCCGGAUUUAUUGGGCGUAAAGCGAGCGCAGGCGGUUUCUUAAGUCUGAUGUGAAAGCCCCCGGCUCAACCGGGGAGGGUCAUUGGAAACUGGGAGACUUGAGUGCAGAAGAGGAGAGUGGAAUUCCAUGUGUAGCGGUGAAAUGCGUAGAUAUAUGGAGGAACACCAGUGGCGAAUGCGGCUCUCUGGUCUGUAACUGACGCUGAGGCUCGAAAGCGUGGGGAGCAAACAGG